rnacentral:lncRNA from 1 species
UGGACAUGAAAGCGCUUUGUAGCAGUGAACAGCUUUGGAAAGGGCCAACCUUUCCUAGGAAAGUCAAUCCAUAGACCCAGGAGCAUUUAUCAAGCACCUACUAUGUGCCAGGCACUGUUCUUAUGGCUGGUGACCCAGAGGCAAAGAUGAAGUAGCCUCCACCCUCAGGGCGCUCCCACAGGCAUCUGGGAGCUGGGAUCCACCUCCAGCAAGGGGAGAGGAGCCCCUGGGAUCAAACGCUGUAAUAAGUCUGAAAGCCAGCAGACGAUUUGUAAAGGUCCUUUGAAGAAUCAAAGAUCUACAUUUAACAUCUGAAUAAGUUUGGGCCCUGAAGGUUUGACCAAGUCAGGAAGGACUUUGGACUGUACAAUUGUGUUGCUAUUCAUUCCUUUAUCUUGUAAUUGGACCUAAUAUUAUGUUAAUACUUUUGUUGUUUCACUUGCUUGACUGAAAUCCAGAAAACUCCCAUUUCUGGAAACCUAUAAUAAAUCAG